AAUAUUGCGCAAUGGACGGAAGUUUGUCGCCGCGCCGCCGCGUGUGCGGUGAAGGCCUNCGGGGCNUNUAGCUCUGUCCUUGGGGNGGAAGGUCUUCGGGCUUGACGGUACCCUAGAAUCAAGCGGCGGCUAAAUACGUGCCAGCAGCCGCGGUAAUACGUAGGGGGCGAGCGUUGUCCGGAAUUACUGGGCGUAAAGGGUGCGUAGGCGGCCCUUUAAGUCAGAUGUGAAAGACCAAGGCUUAACCGUGGGAUUGCAUUUGAGACUGGAGGGCUUGAGUGACGGAGAGGGUAGUGAAAUUCCCAGAGUAGCGGUGAAAUGCGUAGAUAAUGGGAGGAACACCAGUGGCGAAGGCGACUACCUGGACGAUAACUGACGCUGAGGCACGAAAGCUAGGGGAGCAAAC
rnacentral:rRNA from 1 species